CCUACGGGAGACAGCAGUGGGGAAUAUUGCACAAUGGGCGAAAGCCUGAUGCAGCAACGCCGCGUGAGCGAUGAAGGCUUUCGGUUCGUAAAGCUCUGUCCUCAGGGAAGAUAAUGACGGUCCUUACCGAGAAAGCCCCGGCUAACUACGUGCCAGCGGCCCCGUUAAUACGGAGGGGGCUAGCGUUUUCCGGAAUUCCUGGGGGAAAGGGGUGCGUGGGUGGUUUCUUAAGUUGAAGGGGAAAGGCUGCGCAUAAACCGGAGUAAGCAUUUGAAACUGGGAAACUUGAGUGCAGGAGAGGAGAGGGGAAUUCCUAGUGUAGCGGUGAAAUGCGUAGAUAUUAGGAGGAACACCAGUGGCGAAGGCGGCUUGCUGGACUGUAACUGACGCUGAGGCACGAAAGCGUGGGGAGCAAACAGGAUUAGAUACCCUAGUAGUC
rnacentral:rRNA from 1 species